GGACUCUUCAAAGUAUGAGCAUUAGAGCCAUUAACCUGAGAACCUGAACUAGCCUGAGAAAACUUGUUCAUCCAACUACCUGUUCAACAUCUCCUACAGGAAUCUAAAACUGAACACACUCACAAUGGAACUCUUGCCUUCCACCUCCCAUGGCCUUCUCCUCUUGGUAAAUGGCAUCAUGAUUCAUCCAGACUUUACCUGGAAACGAUGGAGCAGAAGGUCUUGCAAAGGAAGUGAUCAUAGCAAGAUGUGUUCAACACAAGCCUAUGGUGCCACCUCACCCCCAUGCCCUCUGACUGACCCAGAGAACAGGGCAAGUCAUCUGAAGUCUUAGGGAGGACUCACAACUUGAAGCUGGGAAGAAGUCAAGCUCAGGUGACCAGAUGUCUUCCCUUCAACCUCAGGAGCAAAGGCUGGACUGGGAACCAGAUAAAGGGAGGUGGCAGGCAGAGCCAGGAGCAGGGGAGACCAUGGACAGACUAUCAGCAGCUGUGUGGUAGCAAGAUAUGCUUGUUGCCCUGCCCUUCACUUCUGGGGGACAGCACUAUUAAUCACUAAUUAAUAAAUGUAGC